AUUGAACGCUGGCGGAAUGCUUUACACAUGCAAGUCGAACGGCAGCACGGGUGCUUGCACCUGGUGGCGAGUGGCGAACGGGUGAGUAACAUAUCGGAACGUGCCCAGUAAUGGGGGAUAACUAACCGAAAGGUUAGCUAAUACCGCAUACGCCCUGAGGGGGAAAGCGGGGGAUCGAAAGACCUCGCGUUAUUGGAGCGGCCGAUAUCUGAUUAGCUAGUUGGUAGGGUAAAGGCCUACCAAGGCGACG
rnacentral:rRNA from 1 species